rnacentral:rRNA from 1 species
AUUGAACGCUGGCGGCAGGCUUAACACAUGCAAGUCGAGCGGGGAAGGGUAGCUUGCUACCUUACCUAGCGGCGGACGGGUGAGUAAUGCUUAGGAAUCUGCCUAUUAGUGGGGGACAACAUUCCGAAAGGAAUGCUAAUACCGCAUACGCCCUACGGGGGAAAGCAGGGGAUGUCCGGACCGUGCGAUAAUAGAUGAGCCUAAGUCAGAUUAGCUAGUUGGUGGGGUAAAGGCCUACCAAGGCGACGAUCUGUAGCGGGUCUGAGAGGAUGAUCCGCCACACUGGGACUGAGACACGGCCCAGACUCCUACGGGAGGCAGCAGUGGGGAAUAUUGGACAAUGGGCGAAAGCCUGAUCCAGCCAUGCCGCGUGUGUGAAGAAGGCCUUUUGGUUGUAAAGCACUUUAAGCGAGGAGGAGGCUACUUGGAUUAAUACUCUAGGAUAGUGGACGUUACUCGCAGAAUAAGCACCGGCUAACUCUGUGCCAGCAGCCGCAGUAAGAC